CUACAAAAGCGAUUUAAAAGAUUUAAUCCGCGGGAAAAUUAGGUUAAAUGGAAAACAUAUAACAAUUCGCGCCCUCAAUGUUCUGGACAAAUGUUACAUUUUGGUAUCAGGAGAACAUAAUAUGCGAAGAGGUGACACGAGAAAUACCAGGUACGUAUCGAAAUUCUGAGGAAAUUUUACAUUUUGGUAUCAAGGAGCACAUGAUAUACGAGGAGGUGGAACGUAGGGAUUCCGGUACGUAUCAACUAACAAAUUUUAACAGCAUCGUGGAAAUUUUCUCUUUAAUUUCCCUUCAUUUCCUUAUACAUUUCCCUCUAAUUUCCCUCCAUUUCCUGGUUUAACAAUGGUCCAAAUCGCUCCGCUCAAAAUUAUGAUGAGAAAUUUCUAAUAAGUCUAAUGGGUCUGAUGGGUUGCCUAAUUCAAAGGGCACAUUUUCGGUACGUGUGGAAAUUUGCAUUUGGUAUCAGGAGAACAUGAUAUGCGAGGAGGUGGCACGAGGAAUUUAAGGUACGUAUCAAAUUCUGGCUAAAUUUUACUCCUGGUAUUAGAAGAACAUGAUGUUCGAAGAGGUGGCACGAGGACUUUAUGGUACGUAUCAAAUUCUGGCUAAAUUUUACUCCUGGCAUCAGGAGAACAUGAUAUACG